rnacentral:rRNA from 1 species
UACGUAGGGGGCAAGCGUUGUCCGGAAUCAUUGGGCGUAAAGCGCGCGUAGGCGGUCCGAUAAGUCUGCUGUGAAAGUCGGGGGCUCAACCCUCGGAUGCCGGUGGAUACUGUCGGGCUUGAGUGCGGAAGAGGCGAGUGGAAUUCCUGGUGUAGCGGUGAAAUGCGCAGAUAUCAGGAGGAACACCAAUUGCGAAGGCAGCUCGCUGGGACGUUACUGACGCUGAUGCGCGAAAGCGUGGGGGGCAAACAGG